GACGUAGGGGGCCAGCGUUGUUCGGAAUUACUGGGUGUAAAGGGUUCGUAGGCGGUGCGGCAAGUUGGGAGUGAAAUCUCUGGGCUUAACCCAGAGGCUGCUUCCAAAACUGCUGUGCUUGAGUGUGGGAGAGGCGCGUGGAAUUGCAGGUGUAGCGGUGAAAUGCGUAGAUAUCUGCAGGAACACCCGUGGCGAGAGCGGCGCGCUGGACCACUACUGACGCUGAGGAACGAAAGCUAGGGGAGCAAACAGG
rnacentral:rRNA from 1 species